AACGAACGCUGGCGGCAUGCCUAACACAUGCAAGUCGAACGAGACCUUCGGGUCUAGUGGCGCACGGGUGCGUAACGCGUGGGAACCUGCCCUUAGGUUCGGAAUAACUCCCCGAAAGGGGUGCUAAUACCGGAUAAUGUCUUCGGACCAAAGAUUUAUCGCCUUUGGAUGGGCCCGCGUUGGAUUAGCUAGUUGGUAGUGUAAAAGCCUACCAAGGCGACGAUCCAUAGCUGGUCUGAGAGGAUGAUCAGCCACACUGGGAAUGAGACACGGCCCAGACUCCUACGGGAGGCAGCAGUGGGGAAUAUUGGACAAGGGGCGAAAGCCUGAUCCAGCAAUGCCGCGUGAGUGAUGAAGGCCUUAGGGUUGUAAAGCUCUUUUACCCGGGAUGAUAAUGACAGUACCGGGAGAAUAAGCUCCGGCUAACUCCGUG
rnacentral:rRNA from 1 species